rnacentral:rRNA from 1 species
CUUUGUGACAGUAGCAUGAGUGAAAGCUAGGCUUCCCAUCCGCUCAGCCAUAUACAAGCAGUGUACCGGCGGAUUAGUAGUUAGGUGGGUGACCACGAGCGAAUCCCCGCUGUUGUAUGUU